rnacentral:SRP_RNA from 1 species
CGGUGGGUCUUAGGCGGGGGGCUAGGGGUCCCCUGAACCGUAAACCCUCUACACGACGGGCCGAAAGCUGGGGCUGAGGCACCCGUGACCGCCAAAACCUCCUAUUUCCGAAGCAGUGACUACCCGUCCCUUGGGGCUGGCGGUCAUCGGGCAACUUCCGUAGGGAAGUUGUCUCCGAUGUUAAUCAGGCGAACUUGGCCAGGCCCGGGAGGGAGCAACCUAAGUCUGGACGUUCAGCGCUCAAGGGGGUGCGGGUACGAGUGUAGGGCUUGGGGGGUUUGGCGGAUUCUGGGUGUCGAACUCCAGUGACCCACCG